rnacentral:rRNA from 1 species
GACGAAGGAUGCAAGCGUUAUCCGGAUUCAUUGGGUUUAAAGGGAGCGUAGGUGGUCUUAUAAGUCAGUGGUGAAAUCUCUGGGCUUAACCCAGAAAUUGCCAUUGAUACUGUAGGACUUGAGUAUAGUUGCCGUUGGCGGAAUAUGACAUGUAGUGGUGAAAUACAUAGAGAUGUCAUAGAACACCGAUUGCGAAGGCAGCUAACGAAACUAUAACUGACGCUGAGGCACGAAAGCGUGGGGAGCAAACAGG